rnacentral:lncRNA from 1 species
UAGGUUCAAGGGGGUUUCAAACAAGGGAUGAUAUUAUUUCAGGGUUGACUUUUUGGCUAACUGGCUAAAAGUAAAAAAAUAAAAAAAUAAAAAAAUAAAAUAUCCUUUAUCAUAUCAGUAUGCAGAAGUAAACAACAACAUCAACAAGAGUCAAUUCAAGUUCUAGAGACUAACAUACAUGAGUGAAAUCACACAAGAAAGAAAGAGAUAGAGUUUUGUAUGUUAUCGAUAUAAGGCUCAAAGCUCAAAAGGGUUAAAGAACUGCUAAAUAUGUAUAAUUCAGAUUUUAGUCAUACCUACCAUACUAAAAAUGCACAUCAAUUUUUUCACAUCACACCACAAGACUUUAGUUAAGAGAACUAAGAAAAAUACUCAUAAUUGUAACUCAAAAACCAAAGAAAAAAAACAUGCAAUUUUUUUUAUUUAAGAAAGCAAACAAAAACCGAAAACAGAGAAAAAUGAAAACAAAAUAAAGAAAACAAAACAAAUAAAUGGUUCCCUUCCCCAC